rnacentral:rRNA from 1 species
GUGUCAGCAGCCGCGGUAAUACAGAGGGUGCAAGCGUUAAUCGGAUUUACUGGGCGUAAAGCGCGCGUAGGUGGCCAAUUAAGUCAAAUGUGAAAUCCCCGAGCUUAACUUGGGAAUUGCAUUCGAUACUGGUUGGCUAGAGUAUGGGAGAGGAUGGUAGAAUUCCAGGUGUAGCGGUGAAAUGCGUAGAGAUCUGGAGGAAUACCGAUGGCGAAGGCAGCCAUCUGGCCUAAUACUGACGCUCAGGUGCGAAAGCGUGGGUAGCAAACAGGAUUAGAUACCCUCGUAGUCC